UACGUAGGGUGCGAGCGUUGUCCGGAAUUAUUGGGCGUAAAGGGCUCGUAGGCGGUUUGUCGCGUCGGGAGUGAAAACCUCGGGCUUAACUCGGGGCUUGCUUUCGAUACGGGCAGACUGGAGGUAUGCAGGGGAGAACGGAAUUCCUGAUGUAGCGGUGAAAUGCGCAGAUAUCAGGAGGAACACCGGUGGCGAAGGCGGUUCUCUGGGCAUGACCUGACGCUGAGGAGCGAAAGUGUGGGGAGCGAACAGG
rnacentral:rRNA from 1 species